rnacentral:lncRNA from 1 species
GGGAUGGCCCCUGGGCUGUGAUGCUAAAAUAAGUAAGAGGAGGGCAUUUUUUUCCCUCCUAACAGGGCCAUUUGGAUAAAAUUACAGGGCAUUUAAUGGCAUUUUUCCCAAAUGAGACUUUCAAAGAACUUAAGUCCAAGGGAAGAAAGCAUGUUUCACAUGAUCAAGGUCAGGAUCUGCCCACUGGCUUCUGAUGUUGAAUGUAGUACGGAAAUAGGGUCUCCACGUCCCACUGGGGUAUUGGGUGUCCCCUAAUUGGCCCAGUUCCCUGUUGUCUUCCAGGAUGUUGUGUUUGAGCCAGUGAGAAGGCUGAACCAGAAAGGCAACCCUGGUCAAAACAAUGGCUCAUUGCAGGUGUGGACUGCCCUGUGGGUGGCAUCAACCUGGGAGAAAGGGCCAUGUCUCUAGGCAUGUUAAAUGUCACCACUUCUUCCCUGAGAGAGGAAGACCUCUUUAUCACCAAGGUAUUUCAGCCACAAGCUGUUCUUGCUUAGAUCGUGCUUGGCAACUAGUGACCGUCAUUCUUUAGUUAAACGGUUAAACAUACUGCCCUUGGUAUCAGAAGUGUGUUUCCUGGUUUUAAAACAUUGAUUCCUUUCUAUUUCUUUUGGCCCCUUCUUAAAAGUGAAAGGAACAAUGAUGAGACAUCUUUUCGGUGUGGGGCCCAACAAGAGAUAGACAUGCAUGUUUGUUGCAUGCCGGAUUCUUUCAUUUAAUUUUGUAGCUUUUCCCAAAAUGGCUGCCAGGUAGGUGCCUGCAUCCUUUUGGCAAAGUCAUUUCUGGAGUGCAAUCUUCAACCAAGACCUUGGAACUGCAUUUUGUGGUUGUCUGCCUAGGACUCAGGUCUGCACUGUGGGACGCACUGCUGAGGGAAGGCCCCUUGUCUGUGACACCGUGGAGGCAGACGCAGGAGGCAUGGGAAAGUGCAAUGGAUUUAAGGAGGAAGCUCCAAGCCAGAUGCUGCCAUGGUCUUCCUCCCCUCAACAGGACCACACUUCUCAGGACUGUGAGUGACCUCUGACUCUGCUGUAGAUGUCCUGGCUCCCCCAGUCAUGUCUGGGACAGUGUUCAUGUGUGAGUGUGGUCCAGAUCUGAGAAGCCACUACCAAGCCAUGCACUGGAACAGAAGAUGAAAUGGGUCAUGAAGAACUCCAAAUUCCUGAGGAAGACCCUCCAGAAGAAGGUUGAAAGGGGAGGAGCUAGAGAGAAAGCUGGGUAUGGGAGUGUGCACACUUCGAUGCUCCUCAGAACUGUCUGAGAAUCCCCAAGGAAGGCAGCUUCGGGGUUCUUAAGGAGGAAAGAUAAACACGGAAUCCUGGAUGGAUGUGUGCAUUCAUAAAGAUCAUGAGACCACCUCCCAGCAGCUUCCCAUUCCUAUUCUUGGAUGCUCCUAGCUGGACUUUGCAUAUUACAUGCUACAGUAUGGGGUAUCCCAGGUGAGCUACUAAAAGCACAUGCAUACCCCCAACUCUUGGUCUUUCAGCCUUUCCUCUCUGUAGGGUAAUUUAAGCCCUGACCCUUUGCUUCCACAACUUGAGGAGGUCACAACUGCAAAUGCUUCUGGGAAAAUCUGGUUUAACUUUUCCUUUUCUUGCAUUUGAAGCCCUCCCCAAUGAGGAUUCUGGGAUUUUAUUGUCAACUACCUUAGGGCCUUCUCUGGAAAUGAAUAAGAAGGUGGGUGCCCUCACUUUCUCAAUCUUCCUCCAGUUCUGAUAUUAAACUUAGUUUAAACAAGCUCUGAAGUCCCUGGCCCACCCUCAGGGUUUUACUUGUGUUGUUAUUAUUUCGUUUUGGUCUUGUUUUUAAUUCUUGGUCAAUUUCUAGGGACUAGAUCAUUGCCCCUCUUUUAACCCUGUGUUACU